rnacentral:rRNA from 1 species
AGUGAACGCUGGCGGUAGGCCUAACACAUGCAAGUCGAACGGCAGCACAGUAAGAGCUUGCUCUUACGGGUGGCGAGUGGCGGACGGGUGAGGAAUACAUCGGAAUCUACUUUUUCGUGGGGGAUAACGUAGGGAAACUUACGCUAAUACCGCAUACGACCUACGGGUGAAAGCAGGGGAUCUUCGGACCUUGCGCGAUUGAAUGAGCCGAUGUCGGAUUAGCUAGUUGGCGGGGUAAAGGCCCACCAAGGCGACGAUCCGUAGCUGGUCUGAGAGGAUGAUCAGCCACAAUGGAACUGAGACACGGUCCAGAGUCCUACGGGAGGCGGCAGUGGGGAAUAUUGGACAAUGGGCGCAAGCCUGGUCCAGCCAUACCGCGUGGGUGAAGAAGGCCUUCGGGUUGUAAAGCCCUUUUGUUGGGAAAGAAAAGCAGCAGGUUAAUACCCCGCUGUUCUGACGGUACCCAAAGAAUAAGCACCGGCUAGCUUCGUG